rnacentral:lncRNA from 1 species
CUUUUUAUAUUGGUUUUCUUAUGGCUUUUUUUAUAACCAUUAGAAGUAUGUCUGUCGGGGCUGGAGAGAUGGCUCAGUGGUUAAGAACACUGCUGUUCUUGCAGAAGACCCGGGUUUGAAUCCCAGCACCCACAUAGCAGUUAAUUGUCCAUAAUUCCAGUUACAGGGGAUCCGACAGCCGCUUCUGUCUUCCUCGGGCAUUGCAUGACACAGGUGCGCUUACCUACAUGCAGGCAAUACACCCAAACACAUAAAAUAAAAAUACAAUAUAUUUUUUAAAAGAUUUAUUUAUUAAAGAAAAAGAAAUAUGUCUGUCACCCAAAGGCCUGUUUCCAACGAGCUAUGAGAAGGGCUGUCCAGAUGGAAAGGGUUACAAACUAUUAUCAGCUCUUUUCCAAAAAUUAAAUCUGAGUGGGAUCGAUUACUGCUUUUAUUAGAAUUGCUGCCAGAUCAAAUUCAAUCAGGCCUUUCCCUCAUCAGGACAGUGACCCUGUAACAUAAGCAUGAGCAAUAUUGAUAACUGACUCUGGCUUAGGAAUAAAGGUAGAACUGACUUCUACAGGGAGGUGCUGUGCUGAGCUGUGGCAACAGAUCUUGCAUGGAAUCUGUCAACAGGGACCGCCUGGUCUCUCACCUACAAGAUCUCCAGCAACAGGUUUACAUGGCCCAGAGACUUCUCAGAGAUGGUAAACUCGAGGAAGCCAUUCUACAGUUGUUGGGGUGCCAGGAGGAUGCUGAGAGCUUCCUAUCAGCAGAGCAUGCUAUGGUGGGGGAAAUCGAAGAUGGGCUGGCACAGGCCUAUGCUGCCUUAGGAGACUGGCAAAAGUCUGCUACCCAUCUACGGAAGAGUCUCCGAGUGGUUGAAGCCCGCCAUGGGCCAUCCAGUGUUGAAAUCGGCCAUGAGCUCUUCAAACUGGCCCAAGUCUUGUUCAAUGGGUAGGUCCUUCCCUUUUCCUAGCACUUUGCCAGAGCACAUGUUGUUCUGCUUUUCACUAGGUGCUUCUGUGUAUGAUUUGUUGCUACAGUGCUUUUAAGCAUAUUGAGACUUCUUUAUUUCCUCUUUUGGAUACAUCCUUGCCUUCUGUUUUACUGACAGACUUUAAGCUUAGAAUUUCCUCCUGAGAGAUGUGGGGAAAACUCUUAGAUCUGAAAUGAGUUUCCCAGGGGAGGACUUGCCAGGCAACCCCACCCACCCUAGCAUUCCUCUGUACUUAAUCACAUCUCCCUUGGUUUACUUAUUCCCAGCCCCCUCAACUCCAGGGGCUCUGCCUUUUCCCUAGUCUGCAUCUUAUCCUUUUAAAGCAGUUGUUUUCAACCUGGAGGAAUUUUGCCUUCAGAU